ensembl:lncRNA
GUUCAAAUUGAUUGACGGACGUAGCUCCAGUUUACUCCUGAACGCUCCUGGACAGGUACGCGCUGUGCAGCAUGCGAAACACUGCAUUAGGAGAAUUGAGAUGUCCUUAAUGAUGGCGGUGGAAAUUGAUUUCCAGGACAAGUGGAGGACGGGCACAAAGGAGAAAUGAAAUAAGAGAGAUGAGAUGCACCGGUGGCUUGGCUGAAGCUGAAAGAAAUCGAGCCAAGAAAGAUCCAUUCUGUCUAAUUGGAGCUGAUGAGGACGGGGACUUCAUUAACGGCUUGCUAUGAAUUAUUAUGCAGUGUAAUUGGCCCUCCAGUCCCAUAGGAGGUGCCCUGCUCCAGCUGGUCCAACUGGAGGAGGCUCCUCUGGCCCAGGUGUAAGCUUUUGUACAGCUGAGGUCUGACUUUAUCCCAGCAGCUGUUCCAUUUGUCUCCAUGUCAGAAAGUCCAUCAGAUUCUGACUUGAAUGUUUCCAUGUAUUGUUGAAUUAAAUGGGUUUUCAACAGAUACUUUAGAAUUGCCCAUAUUUAUAGUCUAUUUGUAAAAAUAAUCAUUGAAAUCUUUUUGUUCCAUAAUCACGAGUUAAUUAACAUGUGUUAAUGAAUUUUGAGAUGCUAAUUGAGAGCCAGUGUUUACACCACAAUAAGCAAUGCAUUCAGGCAGAUGAAAAGAGCUCCUGACUGAUGUAUGGCUGGCUGCUGCUGCACGGCCCAUCGCUCCUUAAAAUGUA